rnacentral:rRNA from 1 species
UACGAAGGGGGCUAGCGUUGCUCGGAAUCACUGGGCGUAAAGCGCACGUAGGCGGAUUGUUAAGUCAGGGGUGAAAUCCUGGAGCUCAACUCCAGAACUGCCUUUGAUACUGGCGAUCUCGAGUCCGGGAGAGGUGAGUGGAACUGCGAGUGUAGAGGUGAAAUUCGUAGAUAUUCGCAAGAACACCAGUGGCGAAGGCGGCUCACUGGCCCGGUACUGACGCUGAGGCACGAAAGCGUGGGGAACAAACAGG